UACGUAGGGGGCAAGCGUUGUCCGGAAUCAUUGGGCGUAAAGAGCGUGUAGGCGGUCCGAUAAGUCCGCUCUGAAAGCCCGGGGCUCAACCCCGGGAGGCGGGCGGAUACUGUCGGGCUAGAGUCCGGAAGAGGCAAGUGGAAUUCCUGGUGUAGCGGUGGAAUGCGCAGAUAUCAGGAGGAACACCAAUAGCGAAGGCAGCUCGCUGGGACGGUACUGACGCUAAGGCGCGAAAGCGUGGGGAGCGAACAGG
rnacentral:rRNA from 1 species